GAAAGGGAUGGAAGGAUAAGGUGGAGGUCAGCCCACGAAGCGUGGUGUAACUAGCGUAGCACGAAUUGUGCUUGUAGAUAUUUGUUUUCUGUUUGAAUUAGAGAUAGAGUUCUAGUCGGUUAAGAAGUUAUCUGUACGGGGCUAUAAAUAGCUACCUUUGUAAAUCUGUAAACACACAAUCAAUCAAUACAACAAGUUACUUUCUUCUUCGUACUUACUUUCGAGCAGGCGACUUCGCCGUUACUUUUUCUUCUCACGAGUUCGUGCGGGUUGGCAGGGCUGCAUCAUCUUGAUCUCCGGCCGAUUCUGUAAGUUCCGUUUAUCGAGUAAUAUCUAAGCUUUAACUUCCGGCGCAUCGCUGUUGUUUCGUUUAGAUUUAUUCAUCAGUUAUCGAUAUCAACUAGAUUCAUAGGUUUUUACCUGUUUUCCUA
rnacentral:lncRNA from 1 species